GGACACUACCUAUAAGCAAGGAAAGAGCCAUGAUGCGGCUUUGCUUGUCGUAGCUUUUGCCUGAAGAGGAGGAAGUGAAGGAAGGAAAUAAGGAAGAGCUGUGAGAGCACCGGAGUACAUUUUGGAGCUACUGUGGGUAUAGGAAAGCUGAUGAAGGAGUUCCGUGCUUGACUCACACCUGUUGCUAAAAGAUUACAAAAGGCCUGUUUCCAGCGCCGUGCAGGCUACCAACAAGAGACUAUCAAAGGGAAGGAAUGGGCUUUCAAGUCAGGACCCUUCGAUUGUGUUACAGAUUGGUUCCAGGUGAGGCAGCUUUGGGAAGUUCAGCCGGAGGAAAAUUGCCCCUCCGUGCAGCGCUUGUGAGAGGCAGGGAGGCUUCACGGUUGGCAUGGUGCUCCGGAAUUCCAAUACCACUCACGUUUGGUGGGAUUUCUGAGGGAUGAACGCUGGGCCUCAAAAAUCUUGUUGUGGUUGAUUGCAGCUACAUUAAAAGCUAAGCCCAGACAAAAAAAAGGGGUAUACAGAGUGUCUGGCUGUUUCAAAAAAAGCAUGCUGAAUAGCUGGAUAGCACCACAGUCCGCAGACAAUAAUUGCCAACAUAAUGUUCAAAACAUCCCUUUGAUUCGCUCAUAAGAUAAGUCCUGCAUGGAUUUAUUUUUCAAAACAGACAUUUUCCAGUUCCACUCUGGUGUUAACGUGAUUUUCGAAAUGAGCGGUUCAUGUUCUUCUUUUUCACACAUGCUAUUACGGCAGGAAUCUAUCUCAAGGACGCCUGGCAGAGAUGUAACGAACACAUUUCAGCAAACAGGGCUCUAAAGAAUAUCAUUAACCAUUGUUUUUUUUCGCUCUAACACUGCAUUGAUUUAUUGUCUUUCUCAGACCACACUCGCUGGAGAAAACUAGCUUUUGAUCAUUAGGAAAUAUAUCUAUCUAGAUUUGACUGGCUGUCUCCUUCACUCAACUCAUUUCAUUGGGGAAGCAACACGCUUCAGUGGAUCUCCAACUUUGGAGAGUUUUGGACAGAUUUCCUGAGGAUUUCGACCGACAAAAGAAUUUGACAACUUAUUCGGUUUGAUGCAAUUUGGAUACAAUAUUAAAGCCUGUCAUCACAUUUGCCAAAUGAUGUUACCUUGACAACUUCACAGACUCCUCCAGUGGCGCCAUUUGUCUUGUAACCGAUAUCCUGCCAUCAUCAUCUUUAUCUUCUUUUGAUAUGCUAGUAGUACCCACCCCACCCAGCCUCAAAGCCAAGGCCAUCUGUACAGUUAAACACAUCUUAAACAAGUCCUCGGGGAGACUCUAAACAGACCCUCAAGUGUUUCACACGUAUGCAGAGAGCGAUGCUGUGUCUGCUGCGCACACUGUGUCAGAUCUGAUCCGAACCAGGCUAUGUGCGGGGAGGACAAUUAGGCAGAGACAGAGCUGAGCCAUGCACAGGCGUGCCAAGCCAUGGCAUUAUGCAUCACUCACCUGUCUGGCCAAAUAAACCAAGACAGGGAAACAUCUGCUCAUGUUUUCAAACUUGGCAAAAAAUGCCAUUUUGUUCUCUGUGCGGCAAAAACAGUCAAUUUUAGCUCUCUGUUGCAACAUGGCAUCACUAACAUCUGCAGGCAUUAGUCAC